rnacentral:rRNA from 1 species
AGGAUGAACGCUGGCGGCGUGCUUACACAUGCAAGUCGAACGAUGACCCCCAGCUUGCUGGGGUGAUUAGUGGCGAACGGGUGAGUAACACGUGAGUAACCUGCCCCUGACUCUGGGAUAAGCCCGGGAAACUGGGUCUAAUACUGGAUAUGCACCGUAAGCCGCAUGGCUUUUGGUGGGAAGAUUUUUUGGUCAGGGAUGGACUCGCGGCCUAUCAGCUUGUUGGUGAGGUAAUGGCUCACCAAGGCGACGACGGGUAGCCGGCCUGAGAGGGUGACCGGCCACACUGGGACUGAGACACGGCCCAGACUCCUACGGGAGGCAGCAGUGGGGAAUAUUGCACAAUGGGCGAAAGCCUGAUGCAGCGACGCCGCGUGAGGGAUGACGGCCUUCGGGUUGUAAACCUCUUUCAGUAGGGAAGAAGCGAAAGUGACGGUAUCUGCAGAAGAAGCGCCGGCUAACUACGUGCCAGCAGCCGCGGUAAUACGUAGGGCGCAAGCGUUAUCCGGAAUUAUUGGGCGUAAAGAGCUCGUAGGCGGUUUGUCGCGUCUGCCGUGAAAGUCCGAGGCUCAACCUCGGAUCUGCGGUGGGUACGGGCAGACUAGAGUGAUGUAGGGGAGACUGGAAUUCCUGGUGUAGCGGUGAAAUGCGCAGAUAUCAGGAGGAACACCGAUGGCGAAGGCAGGUCUCUGGGCAUUAACUGACGCUGAGGAGCGAAAGCAUGGGGAGCGAACAGGAUUAGAUACCCUGGUAGUCCAUGCCGUAAACGUUGGGCACUAGGUGUGGGGGACAUUCCACGUUUUCCG